GACGAACGCUGGCGGCGUGCCUAAUACAUGCAAGUCGAACGAACCGCGACUAGGUGCUUGCACUUGGUCAAGGUGAGUGGCGAACGGGUGAGUAACACGUGGGUAACCUACCUCAUAGUGGGGGAUAACAGUCGGAAACGACUGCUAAUACCGCAUAGGACAUAGGAUCACAUGAUCCAGUGAGGAAAGGUGGCGCAAGCUAUCGCUAAGAGAUGGACCCGCGGUGCAUUAGCUAGUUGGUAGGGUAAAGGCCUACCAAGGCGAUGAUGCAUAGCCGACCUGAGAGGGUGAUCGGCCACAUUGGGACUGAGACACGGCCCAAACUCCUACGGGAGGCAGCAGUAGGGAAUCUUCCGCAAUGGACGCAAGUCUGACGGAGCAACGCCGCGUGAGUGAAGAAGGUCUUCGGAUCGUAAAGCUCUGUUGUUAGAGAAGAACAGCGCAUAGAGUAACUGUUAUGCGUGUGACGGUAUCUAACCAGAAAGCCAUGGCUAACUACGUG
rnacentral:rRNA from 1 species